UUCGCGGCCAAAAUACGCCAUCUCCUCUUCCGUCCGCUGUCCCGUAGGGUUUUCCUCAUAGAUCACUCCUAUCGUUUCGGAUUCCUCGUCAGGGAUCACAUCGGAGCAGUGGAUCUCCGAUUUCGUUCCUUUGAGGUUCUUUUUGUUCCUCUGUUAUGCACUUCCUCUUCGUCGACGAAUUCGGAGCGGGUUUUGUGCGAAUCCCGAUCGCUCUUCAGAUAAGCCACAAGCGAUGAAAAAACCCGAGUCGGCGCUCUACUGUUUAGAGCGCUGCUCUGUGAGGAUGCGAAAGCGAAGGUCUGUAUACAAUGCACAAAUGGAUCUAAAGCUUAAACAAAGAUUUGAAGACCUAGGCAUUUGAUGAUGAGGCAUGGCAAUGGCAAAUUUAGCGAGAGCUGUGUUCUUUUGGAUCUUGCUUUGAUGAAUGAGCCUACUGGUACGAGUCCCUAACUUGUGUUAAAUUAAUGCACAUCGAGUUAUAAUAUAUAUAUUUUUUAGCUCAACAGAAAAUUAAUUUUUAUUCAGCAAGAAAGCGAAUAUGCCCAUCUCCUUUCUUAUUAGAAGAGAUCAAAACCUCCAAGUCCCAAGGAAACACAUCAUACCAGAAUUCAUUAUAAUGGUUUACCCUUUCAAACUUUGCUAACCAAUGCGCAACACAGUAAGCUUCUCUAAAAAUGUGCGUUAUCCUAUAUAUAUUCACUGAAAUGUUGAAGCAAUCUAACAAUAUCUCGAAGUAUGUUAGUGAUCAUCCAAGGAGGAGUUAUCUUGGUAUUCAACAUCGUGAUUAGGCUUUCCGCAUCACAUUCGAUGUGGAUUCUUUGUAUGCCCUUAUUUCUUGCUGCCAAUAGCCCUUCUUUAAUUGUGACAAUUUCAUUAUGUAAGGCAGAUCUAUCCAUGGUAUCCCUGCAUCUUGUAAAAACAGCAAACCCCUCAUCAGUUCUCAAAAUAAAACUUAUAUCAUCAUCCUGCUGUAUUGAGCUUGUGCCAACCCUUCUCUAGUUUGCUAAGAGUCACAUACACACUACUCUCAGAUCCAUUGGAACAUGUGGUGCGAUUACAAUCUAUAAUGAAAUUAACUAAAAUUAUGUAAAGGUUAGGUCUCACCCGUUGAGUUUAGCAUCAUUUUGGACCUUUCAUAUUAUCCACAAAAUAUUUACAAUAGUGACUUUCAAGAUCAAGCUAUUAUCAUGGGCCGUAUCAUUACCUUCCACGAGCCAACAGCCUUGCUUUCAAAUAUUUAAGUGCUAAAAUUGUAUGGCAAGCUUCUAUCGAUAUAGUUGACACACUUCGAAAGUGACAACACAUUCAAAAAUAAAUAAAUGAAGAGGAAUCUGCAGCCUGAUUACACGAGGGACUGUUAUAAUAUGCAGUUAUUGUUUGAUAGUCAUUAAUUGCAAAUUGAUUGCCUCUAUCGUGAUUGAUAUCAAUCGAUUUUGUCUUCA